AAAUAGGUUUAGGAUGUAUUUAGAAUACGUUAGUGUUGCUGUAAAUUAUUAGGAAUUGAUUUGGGUACGUUUCUUGAUUAUUUUAGGCGGAGAAUUCUUUGUGGGCGACUUUUGAAUUCGUUAAAGUGGCCUAUCAGUUUGUUUACACAAGUCUCUAAGGAUCAAUAAGCAUUGUCCAUCUGCAGGUUUGAAGAUGUUGCAUCAUUGGGAUCGGGAAUAGAGAGCUUGUAUUUAGUUUUGAUUUGCUAAGUUAACUUGGGUUUGUUAAUUGGGACUUUAAACUUGUCGUACUAUUUAUAUUUCCUUAUUUUCGUUGGAUGAUUCUUGGGGACUAAAUCUGUAAUAGAUUAUUUAUAAACCUAAAGUUAGUUUUAUGUUUUCCGCUGCAAAA